GAGCUGGGGAAAGGGCAGCAGGGUGAUCUCCCAUCUCUGUGCAGCCAGUGGCCUGUGCUCCCCACUUCCAUGCUGGAACCUCCACAUUCAUUUAUUGACAAAUAAAACUUGCAGAAUUUUAAAAUGUGCUCAGAAUUUUUAUUUUUUGGCACUGAACUUUUAU